GACGUCAGGCUGUUGCGGAGAUGGAGGACGUGCUGGACCUAGGCGAGGAACGACGUCGCGGUUCGGCUACCACCGGGGCCAAGAUGGGUCGCCGAGCUCAACAGGAGUCCUCUCAAGUCGAGAAUCAUCACAGUGGCAAGAAUUCCUUUUUGACUCUGACUGCAGAGGCUCCCCCUCCCAAACUACCCCGUCGGCAAGGAGGAUGGGCAGAUGAUUCCAUGAAGACUUCCAAGUCAGGAAGGAGGGCUUCUGAGGAAAUAGAAGAUCACCGCCUCAGACAGCAGAGCCUGGAUGGAUUGGAUGACGAAGGAGAUAUUCCUGUUAUUCCGGACCUGGAGGAAGUACAGGAGGAAGACUUUGUUUUGCAGGUGGCAGCCCCUCCCAGCAUCCAGGUAAACCGGGUGAUGACCUACCGUGACCUGGACAAUGACCUCAUGAAGUAUGCAGCCUUCCAGACCUUGGAUGGAGAGAUCGACCUGAAGCUCCUCACCAAAGUCCUUGCGCCAGAGCACGAGGUUCGAGAGGAUGAUGUCGGCUGGGACUGGGACCGUCUGUACACUGAGGUGUCCUCAGAGCUCCUCACCGAGUGGGACCCACUGCAGGUGGACAAGGAGGACCCUGUGGGACAGCACGUGCACACCUGAGCCCCCUGGGUCGGCAGACACUCCCUGCACGCAGUCACCUCUGCUCUGGACUUAAAAACACCAUAAACCUAAAACUAAAGAAGUUUGCAAGCAGCUUACAAAUUUUUAUGCACUAUUUGCACCCUCAUGGAAGGAUUGGUCAGGACUGAAGGAGGGCAGCUUGCAAGCCAUCUGCUGGGAACUCUCCCCAUGGCUGAAGCAGGAGGGAAAGCUUGAUUCUGGGGGAGAAGCAGUGGCGCUCCUGGAGGUCGCUCAGCUCACAGAGGCCACAGCAGCUCCCCGGAGCACCUACCUCUGAGCACCCGGACGCGGGGAGAUGGAGGUGGCAGGCACUGCCUGCUGGGGUCCUGGGGAGGGCCUGGCUGGACGCCUUUCUCACUGUGCACGGUCAGUUAUGUUGGUGAAGUUGCACUGUCUCCUCUGUGCUUUCAGGUUGCAUAACUGAAGAGACAGCAAGCGGUGGGUGUGACAGGGUGACCCAUUCCUCAUGUUUGGUGGCUCUUCUGACAGCGCCUCCCCUUCCCCUUCUCCCUGUGGCCACACCUGGGGUCCCAGAGCAGGCAGUUUCCUUCUGCCUCGCAUUCUCAUCAGCAGGGGCCAGCAUGGCAGCCCAGAAGUUUCCACAGAAAUACUCUGUCCAGGAGCCUGGGACUCCCCCCGAACUUUCAGAGGCAUCGCUGUUUGUCUCCGUUGCUCCACAAGCGUCACCACUGCCCCUUUCCCAAAUGCACCAAGAACUGGAGCAGAGCCCAACCCUUUUUCUAAACAAAGGCAUCUUUUGUUUUUGUUUUUCUCUCUUUCUCCCCAAGACAUCUCAUCAGAGGGCAGGAUGUCUCCCUGCCCGCCUCUCCUAGAGGCCACUUUGGACCAGGCCCACACAGGCCGGCAGCAGCCAACCAGGCCCCAUCCCGGCCAUGGGGAGUGCUGAGCGCUGCUCUUAUCCUGCCUGGAAAGCUCUUCAUUAAAAUUCAGAAAAACAAAGAGGCUCAACACUUCAAAAACCCACUGGGGGGUUAUUUUUGUGUGACUACGGUGCCCUUUCCCCACGAGCCACUGAGCCCCAGAGCAGGCAAAGAGAGCGCUUGUUUGUUAAUUAUAAACUUGGGGAUUUAGUGGCUUUGGGGUCCCAUUUCCUCCUUGUCCAGAGUCAUACUUUCAGCCCAGACAGCCCCUCUUUGGAAUAAUUCCCGUGGUCUCGGAGAAGUUUCCACCCAGGCUGGUUUUCUUAAGCCUGCAUCUGCAUCAUUCUGAAACUGCAAGGAGAUAGGGUAUAUUUCUAGCACCUUAACCGCUGCCAAAUUCAACUGCUUCAGGACUGAGAACCUCGGAGGUCUUCAGCCAGCUGGAGCAAGGGACUGGGGUUGACUCCGUUACCCCCUGUACUUCUGAGAUACCUUCUUUAUGUUCCAGCCAGCAUUGUCGCCCACCCAAGACUUCAGAGGGCCUCCCAGGAAGAUGACCCAAGAGGGCUGACAGAAUGGACCAGCGUGGACAGGUACCGCAGUGUGGUUUUCUGCAGACUUGUGGGGGAGGCAUGGAGUGGACUUCCUGCAUGUGGCAGAUUCACUGGUUCCUUAACCGAUUUCUUCUCGACUGGCUCAUGUCACCUCUGAGUGGAAUUGAGAGGGGCUCUGACACAGCCUGCCGUGGUGUCUCUGGCAUGGGGUGGUAGCCACCAAGCUGCUGUUUGGAGGCUGGGCCCUGUGGUUCAGAAGUUCACUCCUUCAUGAGAUCCUGGUUGCCACUUAGUAUGUGCCCAGUGCUGUUCCAGGCACUGCCGAGAGGGAACUAGACAAGCAAAACUCCCUCCCCUCGAAGCACGUCCAUUCCAGUGGGGAGAUGGACCAAUAAGUAAAACAGGGAGGCAGAUGGCAGUCAGUGCUACAGAGAAAAAUAGAGCAGGAGCGUGGAAGGGAGUGGUGGGGUCAGGGGUCUCAGUGUUAAAUGCGGGUGGUUAGGGGAGGCCUCACUGAGAAGGUGGCAUUUGAGCAAAGACCGUAAGAAGGUGAAGGAAAGAGUGACACUGGCCCAGGGAAGAGCGUGCCGUGGAGAGAGAACGGUAUUUGCAAGAGCCAGGGAGGAGGCACAGGCCUGGCUUCUUUGAGUAGCAGCAAGAGGCCGGUGUGCGUGGUCAGAGCGGAGGAGACGCUCUGCUGGCUGUGCUCAGGCCCGGGCUUACCCCACAAAGGCCUCUGCGUGUGUGGGGUCCGCUCCCUCCAGGCUCACGAGCACGCUCAGGCUGUGGGCUCACCAGGCAGCCUUUGGAAAACCUUCUGCAAAUGGCUGCAUGGCCCCUUCGCGCCUCAGCCUGGAAAGAGAGAGGUUAAUGCCACGCUGAGGGAGAGCAGGACCGUGAGCUCUUCUGCAUCGGGCCAGAGGUCAGGAGGCUGCUGCCGCCCCCUCCCCGGGCCAGAUUGCGCGGGGUACAGGGCAGACAGGCACGUCCUGGGGCCCCCGUGUGGUUCAACACUCCCUGGAAACUUGUAGCUCUAAGGAGAAGCUCAAACAAGGAAUUCACCUGGGCGGGCCUGUGGAACCCAAGGUCAUCUCUACCCCUGAUGGUUGGCUUGUUUCUGCUCAUCCCCAGGACACCCUAGACAGGCUUUUAGGACUACACGCUCCAGACAGAAACUGACGCUAGCGCAAGCCCAGAGCUGCCGGACCACAGCGUGCUGCUCACGGAAAUCCAGCCCUUUCUUCCUUAGUGGUGUGGGCGGCUCCUGGGAGCACUGGUGCUGGAGGCUGGAAAGAAAGGCAGAAUUUGCUACAGCAAAAAAAGGAAGCUUAGCAUCCUGCUCUGCCUUCCCCAGCAUGGCUAUGCUUUUCUCCCGGGGCAGAGUCAGUGGGGAGCGGAGUAACUAGAAAGAGGAGGGGGUAGUGGCAAAGCACGGGUGCCAGAAUCAGACAGACCUGGGGUCCAGCUCGAGCUCUGCCACUUCGUCCUGGUGGCUCCUCGAGCGAGCUACCUUCCCCUUCUGAUCCUGUUUGCUCACUUGUAAAAUGGGGAUGAUAUUAGUACUAUCCUCAUAGGAUUGUGAUGCCCAGUGAAAGCUGAGAGUUGCUAGCUUGGGGAACUGGUUGGGAUGGAGAAGUGAACACAGGGAAAGUCACAUUGGAUGUUUUAUUGUAACAACAAACACCUGACGCUCGUGAGGGGCCUCCACCUCCAUUCCCCCUCGUGCAUCACCUCUCUGCUGUAGGUAGAGAGUGGUUUGGCACCAGAGUUUUUGUUUGGUUUUUAUAACACCUUUAUUGAGGUAUAAUUUGCAUGCUUUCAAAUUUACCCCCUGAAAGUAUAUGAUCCAAUGUUUUUAGUAAAUUUAUGGAGUUAUACAAUGAUCACCAUAAUUCUGUUUUUAGAACAUUUUCACUAUCCUGUAAGGUUCCCUUGUGUCCACUGACAGUAAACCCCCACUCCCACUCCCAGCCCCAGGCAACCCCUGAUGUGCUUGCUGACUCUCAAUUGGUCGUUUCUGGAAAUUUCAUAUAAAUGGACUCAUAGAACGUGUGGUGUUUUAAGUCUGGCUGCUUUCACGUGGCCUGUUUUCAAGAUCUAUCCGUGUUGUAGCGUGGAUGCUACGUGCCAGUGGUUCGUUCUUUGGAUUGCUGAAUGUUACUCUAUUGUAUGUGUACUUGCCACGUUUUGUUUAAUCAUUCCUCAGCUGAUGGGCAUGUGAGUUGUUUCCAGUCAGGGUUACUGUGAAAAAUGCCUCUCUGGACUUCUGUGUCCAUGUCUUUGUGUGUUUUCAUUUCUCUCAGGUAGAUUUUGAGGCAUGAAAUUGCUGGAUCAGACGGUAUAUUUAUGUUUAGCUUUUAAGAAACUGCCGAACUGUUUUCCAGUGCAUCAGGGUUUUUUUUCAGUGCUGUAAGGUAUCAGGAUUAAUUCAGUAAAAAUUAAGGUUUCUUUUUCUUCUCUCCUUUCCAUACGUUUUUCAAAGGUCACUGUUAAGUUUAUAGGAGGCACAUUCUCCUGAUUCCUCCCUCCCUGCCUGCUCCCUGUCACCGAGCUUAUCUCUGUUCAGAACACAGAGAUCAUCUGUCUGCCCUCCCCACCAGCCUGUAGGCGUCUUCAGGAUAAGACCAGGUGUUGUUCAAGUUUCUAUCAAGGCCCUUGCAUAUUCUGGGAGUUCAAAGUCAAAUAAGAUGUGGUCCUGACCCCAAGGAGCUCACAAGCUAGUAGAAAAAUAGACAAGAUUCCUCUAAGUUCUCAGCACGUUGAUUUUGAAAAACAUACAGGCUUUCCUGAUGAGGGGAGGAGCCCGAAUGACCCACCACCAGGUGCAGAUGAAGGGAGGGAGCAGGAGCUUCAUUUGUUCACAAAGAAAUACAAAGGUGGGUUGGUUUGCUUAGAGCAGGGGUCAGCCUACUGCAGCCUGGGGACCAAAUCCAGCCCGCCACCUGCUCUCCUGAAGCUUUACUGGAACACAGCCGUGCCCCUUAAUUUACAUAUUGUCUAUGGCAGCUUUGAGGCUACAAUAGCAGAUCUUAGUUGUGACAAAGACCGCGUGGCCUGCAAAGCCUGAAUUAUCUCCUCUCUGGCCCUUUACAGAAGAAUUUUGCCAAUCUCUCCUUAGACAAAAGAAUGGAGGUGAGAAAUCACAACACCCACAGGCCCCCAAAGUUCAGCUGCUUUUUGCUAUCCAGAAAUGCAAUGGCAGCAGGAAUGAUUUGAGUCAGAUGUAAGGAAAGACUGGAAGGGAAGGAAGAUUCUGGCUCCUAAAAGAGAAAGACAAAUUUCCCUUAAGGGAAGGAAACAAACAAACAAACACUCAUCAGUUCCAGCAAAGUUGGGACAUAUCUACCCAGAAACACAAAGCUGGAAAGUGACUGGGCUUCUUCUUGGCCAUUGGUCUUAUUUGAGAUGUGGGGGAAGGUGGGGUCUCUAGAAAUCAAAUACCUUUGGCAGUGGGCUCAAAUAAUGAUGAGAGAGCCCAGUGGAGGGGGGGUUAGGAGCAAGGGGGUGGCGGAAAGCCUGAUCUUUCCUUGGGCGAGGUAGAAAUGCAAAAGGAAAGGUAUCGGGAGCAGCCGGAGGAAGAUGCUGCCCCUCUUGUGGCUGAGGCAGAGGAAUUAAUUCCCGGCAUAUGUUCCCAGCAUCUGUCAUGGUGACCUGGACGGGAGGGGUCAGCGAGAGAGGGGACCAUGCCAGGGCUGAGCGUUAGCCCAGAACUCCCGGGCCGCAGAGGCUCCUGGCUCCCGCAGAACCGUGGCCGGCCAGCUCUCCCAGCAGCACCUGCUGCAGCUGCGGCACACAGCGCUGCUUUGAGCGGGAGGGCACGCGCUCCACAAGAAAGCAUCUGCUGCUGAGGGGCCAGGCGGACCCCGGAUAGUCCUGCAAAACUCUGUCUCUUCCAGAUCUUGGGCUGUAGUAGGUUCAGCCCACCAGCCCCAUGUCCUGCCAGCAGACUGGAGGUGACGCAUAGGACUGCGCUGGGAGGGGCGGGGCAAGGGCAGGGGAGCCACAGCUCUGGAUGGGAAGGACACCGAGGGAUGGGGCGCCCUCCUAAGUUCCAGUCCCAGAACCCCUCUGGAGACUAUGUGGGCUGCUCAGUGCUAAAGUGUCCCCAGAGAUCCACCCAGAGGAAGCGAGGCAGGAGGGCAUGGAGACUAAGAAUGCAGACGAUGCCAGGUUCCACGUCACAGCUGCAUGACCUCGGGCAGGUUCCCAUACUUCUUUGUGCCUUGAUUUUUCUCGUCUAUAGAAUGAGCUGGAAAUUAAUUUCCGUCUCAAAGGGCUAUGAUGAUGGUUAAACCAAGUUACUAAGUGUCAAGUGUCUGGCACAAAGCAAGCCCUCAGUGAAGAUUAGCUCUUAUUGCACUGAGUGGACAGGCAAUGAUCUGGUGUUCCCCCCCGCCCUGUCCCCAAACCAUGACAAGUCAUGGGUAUUAGACAUCUACCCUAAGGUCAUGAGCUGGAGGCCCACAGACUGACUUUGACCCACAGGACAUUUGGACGACACACGAUUUUUUAAUUGGUUAACUAUCAGCUUUUUAAAUGGACAGGUUUCCCAUUAAACCCAGAGCUUUAGCUCCUCUUAGGAAAUUGGGAGAUCUGUCCACUCUGGGGCCACAGUCCCUAGAGAAGUGAUGAACGUAAGUGGAGAAGCCCAGCUCCUUUGAGUAGGGGCAGGUCAGCACACCCUGCCCCGCCCUCACAUCUCUGCCUGGACACUGCGGGCACUGACUUUGAGACCCCUACCCGCUCCUCCUUUUGCUGGUGAUGAUCCAGUUCCCCAAGAGCAUGCACCCAAGGUCAUGGGUACUGGAGCUCGAGUCCUGACUUACAGGCCAGUGUCCUUUGUUAGUAACCAGGCCCCCGGCCUGAUGAAUAACCUCUGGAUACUAUUUGGGCUGCUUUGUGCUAAAGUGUCCCCCAAACCACAUAAGUUCUGGAGAAAAUCCAGUUUCCCUACCCUGGGUAUCCUCCUCUGAUUAGGAAGCCAAACUGUGACCAGCAUGGGUCUGACAAGAGUUUGAGCAGAGUCCCGGGACAACUCCAGGGCCAAUAACUGGCCCCUUGGCCAUCUGCCCUCUACUGAACUGUUUCAAAUCUGCCCUGGAGCUGAUGGCACCUGCUCAGGAUGCGGGUCCAGCUUAGCAUUCGGGAGAAAAUUAGCAGGUUUGUCUUCUUUCUAUAACUGCCACCAGUGCCCUGGUCACGCCCCGAGGUGUGAUGGAGAUGGGGGCAGCUGGGGCUGCGGGGAAUGUGUCUGGCUUUCAGGCCUCAGACAGGAGAGCACACACCAUCCACUGGCAAGCAGGGUCUCCACACUGAGCUCAGGAGGAGGGACAGCCUGGGGUGCACCACAGCUCGCCCUUCAUGAGAGCCUGCACAAAGAGUGAUGUUAUUCGGCAGCCCCCAGCAGUGGUGCCUGGGGGACCUGCCUGCAGAGACCGUGAGCUUCCCAGGCAGCACCCCACCAGUUACUAACCCUGGCAGUGCUACAUGGCUCAGCCAUCCAGGGCCAGCACAGGACUCCUCUAAGGCCGUCUCUGCACCAGGGCUCCCGGGGGCUGGCCAGGGCUUUCUCAGAGCUGCACCGCAGUCAGAGACCCUUGCUGUCCAAUCCUCCUCCCUCCCCUCUCUCUUCACAGUUAUCAGACCUUCAUCCCCGCCUGAAGCCUUUUCCUGUUACCUCCUACGUCCUCUCCCCUUCCUCUUUUAGUCCUGGUGUCUGCUUCCCCGAAGAUCCAAACAGUAGGCCUGGGGUCGCCCAGCUAGACUCGGUGAGCAGAGAUUCCUGGGCAGGACUGAGAGGAGGCAGCUGGUUAAGAGUGUGGGUACAGCUUCUCCCCGCAAAUCCAUAUGCCUCAAAACCUCCAAUGGCCUGGCUGGGCCGUGGGCUGGCUUUAGAGUGGGAUUCCUGAGAUGAGUAGAAGGAGACUGGGCAGAGGUAGAUCCCCCUGUCACUUGUGUUAGAGCCAAGCUGGAACGCAAUCCAACCGAGGAGGCCUGAAAAGGAGGAAGUGUAAUCCCACAAGGGGCACUUGGCAAGAGAAUCUGGUGUCCUCUUAGCAGGAGGAGAAAACAGCUCCUCUUUUUGUCUGGGGUCCGGCGCGAAAAGCCUCUGUUGGUGGCUUUAUGGGCAGAGAACAGGGGGCAUCAUGGGUACCAGGCCUGCCAGGAGACAGGGUGUGCCCUUCAGAGGGCUGCGUGUUGCCCACUGGGGUCUGGAGACAUCAUCGCUGAAGGUGAGAGAAGAGAUGAUGUUGAGACAACUGGCCGUCUGGGGCCACCUCUGCCACACGGUGGUCCGGGGCAGCAGGCCCUCCGCCAGCGAGGGGAGGUGCUGCGGGCUUUGCGAAGGGCCGGGCUUGUUCUGAUGGAAGCCCAGUGGGCAGCGCCUCACUGUACCUAAGGCACAGCGCCCUCCAAGGUGCUUUUGCAGUUUUAGGACAAAGACAGUGGAACCAAAACUGAAUGAGAAAGCCGCCUCACAGGGUGUAGUUUGAGGAGAUAGUACUUGGUAGGGGAAGCUAAGCAAAGAGAAAAAAUUAGUUUAGCUCUUUAACAGAACAGAAAAAACAAAAAUAAAGCCAAAACCUGAGUGAGGUAGGGCAGAGCAGGGCGAAGAUACUUACUACAAAGGGGCAGGAGGGAACUUUUUGGAGUGUUAGAAAUGGUCCAUAAUUUGAUUGUGGAGAUGGUUACAUGUCUGUUUAUAAAACUCAUCAAACUCUCCACUUAAGAAAGGAUGAUUCUAUUGUAUGUAAAUUGUACCUCGAUAAACGUGACUUUAAAAAGAUUCUCCCCGUCCCUCAUCACUAUCCCGGGGACCUGAGUUGGCCGAGUCUCUGUCCCACAGCAUCCCCUUGGCCAUGGUGCCCGGCAACCUGGCCAUCCUGAGAACUGGGUCAGGAAGCAGAGAGGCCCUCCAGUGCUGCCACAGCCCCUGCUCUCAGACUAAGGGUCUGCUCGGACUCCAGAGCUGGCUUUUAAAUUUUAUCUGCAGUUUAAUCUUCCAGGAUUUUCCAGGAAGGGAAAAUCCAGCAAGUUUGACUACCUCAGGGUGGCCAAUUUGAAGUAAAACACAGGCAUUGGAGAAUCAUUUUUGGCAUCAGAAUGGGAGUGCAGGUCUGCUGAGCCCAGAAUGAGGAAGGACCCGAGGAACCUUGAAGACCCAGGACUGAUUAAAAAAGAUGUCCCCAGAGAGAGGAGGCCACGCCAUCUUUUGCAAUGCAAUAAAUCUUUCGACCUGGGGGAUGAGCAAGGAUAUAGGAACGUUUGAUGCCAGAUCUUUUUUUUUUUUUUAAAAGUCUCUCCUUAAAAGCUUACAAAUCCUAUUUUUCAAAUAUUAUCUUUACUUAUACGUAUUCAGUAAAUUAUAUAUAUAUACACAUACACAUAAUCACUAAAUUAAAACUAUAUAUUUAAAUACAGUGAA